GACGAACGCUGGCGGUGUGCUUAACACAUGCAAGUCGAACGGUAAGGCCCUUUCGGGGGUACACGAGUGGCGAACGGGUGAGUAACACGUGAGUAACCUGCCCUCAUCUCUGGGAUAACAGUCGGAAACGGUUGCUAAUACUGGAUAUGAGCUUGCAAGGCAUCUUGUGGGUUGGAAAGAUUUUUUUUGGUUGGGGAUGGACUCGCGGCCUAUCAGCUUGUUGGUGAGGUAGUGGCUCACCAAGGCUUCGACGGGUAGCCGGCCUGAGAGGGCGACUGGCCACAUUGGGACUGAGAUACGGCCCAAACUCCUACGGGAGGCAGCAGUGGGGAAUAUUGCACAAUGGACGGAAGUCUGAUGCAGCAACGCCGCGUGCGGGAUGACGGCCUUCGGGUUGUAAACCGCUUUCAAUUGUGACGAAGCUUUUUUGUGACGGUAGCAGUAGAAGAAGCACCGGCUAACUACGUG
rnacentral:rRNA from 1 species